rnacentral:rRNA from 1 species
GACGAACGCUGGCGGCGUGCUUAACACAUGCAAGUCGAACGGAAAGGCCCCUUUGGGGGUACUCGAGUGGCGAACGGGUGAGUAACACGUGCGUAACCUGCCCUUCACUUCGGGAUAACUUCAGGAAACUGAGGCUAAUACCGUAGAGGAAUCCUUGCUGCAUGGUGGGGGUUGGAAAGCUUCGGCGGAUUUGGAUGGACUCGCGCCCUAUCACCUUGUUGGUGGGGUAGUGGCUUACCAAGGCAUUGAGGGGGAGGCGGCCUGAGAGGGCGACCGGCCACAUUGGGAAGGAGACUCGGCCCAGACGCCUACGGGAGGAAGCAGUGGGGAAUACUACACUGUGGGCGGCAGCCUGAUGCAGCAACGCCGCGUGCAGGAUGACGGACUUCGGGUUGUAAGCCGCUUUCAGCAGGGGCGAAGCGUGUGGUGACGGUACCUGCAGAAGAAGCACCGGCUAACUACGUG